GUGCUGACGAGUGGCGAACGGGUGAGUAAUGCGUAGAAAUCUACCUUUUAGUGGGGGAUAACUUAGGGAAACUUAAGCUAAUACCGCAUAAUCUCUAUUGAGCAAAGCAGGGGACCUUAGGGCCUUGCGCUAAAAGAUGAGUUUGCGUCAGAUUAGCUUGUUGGUGAGGUAAAGGCUCACCAAGGCAACGAUCUGUAGCUGGUCUGAGAGGACGACCAGCCACACUGGGACUGAGAUACGGCCCAGACUCC
rnacentral:rRNA from 1 species